rnacentral:rRNA from 1 species
ACCGAAUAGAUACCCGGGUAGUCCGCGCCGUAAACGAUGGAUGCUGGCUGUGAGAGGUAUCGACCCCUCUCGUAGCGAAAGCUAACGCGUUAAGCAUCCCGCCUGUGGAGUACGGUCGCAAGACUAAAACAUAAAGGAAUUGACGGGGACCCGCACAAGCGGUGGAGCGUGUUGUUUAAUUCGAUGGUAAACGAAGAACCUUACCCAGGUUUGACAUCCUUGGAAGUUUUCCGAAAGGAAAAUGUGCUUUAUUGAACCAAGUGACAGGUGUUGCACGGCCGUCGUCAGCUCGUGUCGUGAGAUGUUUGG